rnacentral:rRNA from 1 species
AAUGGACGCAAGUCUGAUGGAGCAACGCCGCGUGAGUGAAGAAGGUUUCGGCUCGUAAAGCUCUGUUGGUAGUGAAGAAAGAUAGAGGUGAGUAACUGGCCUUUAUUUGACGGUAAUUACUUAGAAAGUCACGGCUAACUACGUGCCAGCAGCCGCGGUAAUACGUAGGUGGCAAGCGUUGUCCGGAUUUAUUGGGCGUAAAGCGAGUGCAGGCGGUUCAAUAAGUCUGAUGUGAAAGCCUUCGGCUCAACCGGAGAAUUGCAUCAGAAACUGUUGAACUUGAGUGCAGAAGAGGAGAGUGGAACUCCAUGUGUAGCGGUGGAAUGCGUAGAUAUAUGGAAGAACACCAGUGGCGAAGGCGGCUCUCUGGACUGCAACUGACGCUGAGGCUCGAAAGCAUGGGUAGCGAACAGGAUUAGAUACCCUGGUAGUCCAUGCCGUAAACGAUGAGUGCUAAGUGUUGGGAGGUUUCCGCCUCUCAGUGCUGCAGCUAACGCAUUAAGCACUCCGCCUGGGGAGUACGACCGCAAGGUUGAAACUCAAAGGAAUUGACGGGGGCCCGCACAAGCGGUGGAGCAUGUGGUUUAAUUCGAAGCAACGCGAAGAACCUUACCAGGUCUUGACAUCCAGUGCAAACCUAAGAGAUUAGGUGUUCCCUUCGGGGACGCUGAGACAGGUGGUGCAUGGCUGUCGUCAGCUCGUGU